rnacentral:rRNA from 1 species
UACGAAGGGGGCAAGCGUUGUUCGGAAUUACUGGGCGUAAAGGGCGCGCAGGCGGCCCUUGAAGUCAGGUGUGAAAGCCCCGGGCUCAACCUGGGAAUUGCACUUGAUACUCGAGGGCUUGAGUUCGGGAGAGGAGAGUGGAAUUCCCAGUGUAGAGGUGAAAUUCGUAGAUAUUCGCAAGAACACCAGUGGCGAAGGCGGCUCACUGGCUCGGUACUGACGCUGAGGUGCGAAAGCGUGGGGAGCAAACAGG